GACGAACGCUGGCGGCGUGCUUAACACAUGCAAGUCGAACGGUGAAGCGCCUUCCUUUUUGGUGGGUGUGGAUGAGUGGCGAACGGGUGAGUAACACGUGAGUAACCUGCCCCCUUCUUCUGGAUAACCGCAUGAAAGUGUGUCUAAUACGGGAUAUUCUGGUUCUGUCGCAUGAUGGGUCUGUGUCAGAUAUUGUUUCGGUGGGGGAUGGGCUCGCGGCCUAUCAGCUUGUUGGUGGGGUGAUGGCCUACCAAGGCGGUGACGGGUAGCCGGCCUGAGAGGGUGGACGGUCACACUGGGACUGAGACACGGCCCAGACUGCUACGGGAGGCAGCAGUGGGGAAUAGUGCACAGUGGGCGAAAGCGUGAUGCAGCGACGCCGCGUGAGGGAUGGAGGCCUUCGGGUUGUGAACCUCUUUCGCCAGUGAAGCAGGCCUGCCUCGUUUGUGGGUGGGUUGACGGUAGCUGGAUAAGAAGCGCCGGCUAACUACGUG
rnacentral:rRNA from 1 species